GAUGAACGCUGGCGGCGUGCCUAAUACAUGCAAGUCGAGCGAAUGGAUUAAGAGCUUGCUCUUAUGAAGUUAGCGGCGGACGGGUGAGUAACACGUGGGUAACCUGCCCAUAAGACUGGGAUAACUCCGGGAAACCGGGGCUAAUACCGGAUAAUAUUUUAAACUGCAUGGUUCAAAAUUGAAAGGCGGCUUCGGCUGUCAUUUAUGGAUGGACCCGCGUCGCAUUAGCUAGUUGGUGAGGUAACGGCUCACCAAGGCAACGAUGCGUAGCUGACCUGAGAGGGUGAUCGGCCAAACUGGGACUGAGACACGGCCCAGACUCCUACGGGAGGCAGCAGUAGGGAAUCUUCCGCAAUGGACGAAAGUCUGACGGAGCAACGCCGCGUGAGUGAUGAAGGCUUUCGGGUCGUAAAACUCUGUUGUUAGGGAAGAACAAGUGCUAGUUGAAUAAGCUGGCACCUUGACGGUACCUAACCAGAAAGCCACGGCUAACUACGUGCCAGCAGCCGCCGUAA
rnacentral:rRNA from 1 species